rnacentral:lncRNA from 1 species
CAGGUUUCAACAGAUUCUUCAAAAUGCCAUCCCAAAUGGAGCAUGCCAUGGAAACCAUGAUGCUUACAUUUCACAGAAUCAAAAGGACCCUCUGGCUGUGGACAAAAUAAUGAAAGACCUGGACCAGUGCCGAGAUGGAAAAGUGGGCUUCCAGAGCUUUCUAUCACUAGUGGCGGGGCUCAUCAUUGCAUGCAAUGACUAUUUUGUAGUACACAUGAAGCAGAAGAAGUAGGCCAACUGGAGCCCUGGUACCCACACCUUGAUGCGUCCUCUCCCAUGGGGUCAACUGAGGAAUCUGCCCCACUGCUUCCUGUGAGCAGAUCAGGACCCUUAGGAAAUGUGC